UAGGGAAUCUUCCGCAAUGGGCGAAAGCCUGACGGAGCAACGCCGCGUGAGUGAUGAAGGUCUUCGGAUCGUAAAACUCUGUUAUUAGGGAAGAACAAAUGUGUAAGUAACUAUGCACGUCUUGACGGUACCUAAUCAGAAAGCCACGGCUAACUACGUGCCAGCAGCCGCGGUAAUACGUAGGUGGCAAGCGUUAUCCGGAAUUAUUGGGCGUAAAGCGCGCGUAGGCGGUUUUUUAAGUCUGAUGUGAAAGCCCACGGCUCAACCGUGGAGGGUCAUUGGAAACUGGAAAACUUGAGUGCAGAAGAGGAAAGUGGAAUUCCAUGUGUAGCGGUGAAAUGCGCAGAGAUAUGGAGGAACACCAGUGGCGAAGGCGACUUUCUGGUCUGUAACUGACGCGGAUGUGCGAAAGCGUGGGGAUCAAACAGG
rnacentral:rRNA from 1 species